UACGUAGGGUGCAAGCGUUAAUCGGAAUUAUUGGGCGUAAAGCGCGCGCAGGUGGUUCCUUAAGUCUGAUGUGAAAGCCCACGGCUCAACCGUGGAGGGUCAUUGGAAACUGGGGAACUUGAGUGCAGAAGAGGAAAGUGGAAUUCCAAGUGUAGCGGUGAAAUGCGUAGAGAUUUGGAGGAACACCAGUGGCGAAGGCGACUUUCUGGUCUGUAACUGACACUGAGGCGCGAAAGCGUGGGGAGCAAACAGG
rnacentral:rRNA from 1 species